UGCCCAUUCAUCCUCAGGUGGGGAUUAGUGGCAUUCCUUGUGUUAGAUAUAAAGUAUUGCACUCGUCCCGGCCUGAGGAAGAAAAGAGGCUU
rnacentral:pre_miRNA from 1 species